AGUGAACGCUGGCGGUAGGCCUAACACAUGCAAGUCGAACGGCAGCACAGUAAGAGCUUGCUCUUACGGGUGGCGAGUGGCGGACGGGUGAGGCAUACAUCGGAAUCUACUUUUUCGUGGGGGAUAACGUAGGGAAACUUAUGCUAAUACCGCAUACGACCUACGGGUGAAAGCAGGGGAUCUUCGGACCUUGCGCGUUUGAAUGAGCCGAUGUCGGAUUAGCUAGUUGGCGGGGUAAAGGCCCACCAAGGCGACGAUCCGUAGCUGGUCUGAGAGGAUGAUCAGCCACACUGGAACUGAGACACGGUCCAGACUCCUACGGGAGGCAGCAGUGGGGAAUAUUGGACAAUGGGCGCAAGCCUGAUCCAGCCAUACCGCGUGGGUGAAGAAGGCCUUCGAGUUGUAAAGCCCUUUUGUUGGGAAAGAAAAGCAGCAGGUUAAUACCCCGCUGUUCUGACGGUACCCAAAGAAUAAGCACCGGCUAACUUCGU
rnacentral:rRNA from 1 species